UCCAAUCAUUAAAUGAGCUCAGCAAUGUUUUAUUACAGAUCUCAUGUGUCUGAGCUUAGCUCGGCUUUUAAGUGCUCCUGGGCAUGUCGUGCUUACGCAAGUGAUUUUCUGCUGUGGAUUGUUGAGGCUGCCACAGAACGACAAGAGUGAUGUGCCUUGAAUUCCAAUGAGGAGCAAUGGUGUGUUUUUUUCCUCUUUUUUCCAAUAAAGAGCUGUAUGGCCAUGUUCUAGUAGCAUUUUUAUCCUGACGUUUCACCUGCAUCUGUGGCUGGCAUCUUCAGAGGAUCCUCAGUGAUUCUGGCCGUGAAAGCCUUCGACGAUACAUUUUUCCUGACCUUGUCUGGUGAGCUGUUCCACAAGGGUAUGGUUGCCAACCUCCUGGUGAGCCGGAAUUACAACUGAUCCCAAGACUACAGGGAUCGGAUCAUUUCUUCAGGAGGAAUUGCUUUGGACUCUGUACUCUAUGGCAUUCUACCCUUCCAUGCCCCCCAAAUAUCAUGAUUUUUCCAACACAGAGUUGACAGUCAUCCUUCAGUCAUUUCUUCUUUUUAUUCCCUAAUGUUUGUUGUUAUUUUCCUUCUGAAAUUAUUUACCAAAAUAAGGAGGGAGGCAUUUGGC